AUGAAGGUCUUAGGAUUGUAAAAUUCUUUCACCGGGGACGAUAAUGACGGUACCCGGAGAAGAAGCCCCGGCUAACUUCGUGCCAGCAGCCGCGGUAAUACGAAGGGGGCUAGCGUUGCUCGGAAUUACUGGGCGUAAAGGGAGCGUAGGCGGACUGUUUAGUCAGAGGUGAAAGCCCAGGGCUCAACCUUGGAAUUGCCUUUGAUACUGGCAGUCUUGAGUACGGAAGAGGUAUGUGGAACUCCGAGUGUAGAGGUGAAAUUCGUAGAUAUUCGGAAGAACACCAGUGGCGAAGGCGACAUACUGGUCCGUUACUGACGCUGAGGCUCGAAAGCGUGGGGAGCAAACAGGAUUAGAUACCCUGGUAGUCCACGCCGUAAACGAUGAGUGCUAGUUGUCGGCAUGCAUGCAUGUCGGUGACGCAGCUAACGCAUUAAGCACUCCGCCUGGGGAG
rnacentral:rRNA from 1 species